UGGGGAAUAUUGGACAAUGGGCGCAAGCCUGAUCCAGCAAUGCCGCGUGAGUGAUGAAGGCCUUAGGGUUGUAAAGCUCUUUCGCACGCGACGAUGAUGACGGUAGCGUGAGAAGAAGCCCCGGCUAACUUCGUGCCAGCAGCCGCGGUAAUACGAAGGGGGCUAGCGUUGUUCGGAAUUACUGGGCGUAAAGGGCGCGUAGGCGGCCUGUUUAGUCAGAAGUGAAAGCCCCGGGCUCAACCUGGGAAUAGCUUUUGAUACUGGCAGGCUUGAGUUCCGGAGAGGAUGGUGGAAUUCCCAGUGUAGAGGUGAAAUUCGUAGAUAUUGGGAAGAACACCGGUGGCGAAGGCGGCCAUCUGGACGGACACUGACGCUGAGGCGCGAAAAGCGUGGGGAGCAAACAGGAUUAGAUACCCUGGUAGUCCACGCCGUAAACGAAUGAUGCUAGACGUCGGGGUGCAUGGCACUUCGGUGUCGCCGCUAACGCAUUAAGCAUUCCGCCUGGGGGAGUACGGCCGCAAGGUUAAAAC
rnacentral:rRNA from 1 species